rnacentral:lncRNA from 1 species
AUUACAUAAAAUAUAAUGAAAUUUCACAGUUUUGCAUAAGAGCUCAUUCUUUCAUCAUUAGCUUGUUAUUUUUAGGGUGUAUUCCCACAGCGGUUGUAAGUCGAUAGCUGGUUUAUCAUUUAUGAAGUUCUGUGUUUCCCACCUAGUUAUUUCUUUUGUCUCAGUUAGCAAGGCUUGCAACUCUCUUAGGACGGGCUUUGAAAUUUGGCAUUGUUCCAAUCAGCCUGCAGAUCUGUUAUAUAUGCCUCUGUUGCUAACAGUGCUAAGAUUCUCUUUCUCUGUGUGUCUCCUGUGCUCUUUGGGCCUCUGUCUGAGGGUUCUUGUUGUCAUACCCAUGUAUGCUGCUGUUUGCCAGGUGCUCUGAUGCUCAAGGAGUAUUUUGUAA